rnacentral:rRNA from 1 species
AACGAACGCUGGCGGCAUGCCUAACACAUGCAAGUCGAACGAAGGCUUCGGCCUUAGUGGCGCACGGGUGCGUAACGCGUGGGAAUCUGCCCUUUGGUUCGGAAUAACAGCUGGAAACGGCUGCUAAUACCGGAUGAUGACGAAAGUCCAAAGAUUUAUCGCCAGAGGAUGAGCCCGCGUUGGAUUAGGUAGUUGGUGGGGUAAAGGCCUACCAAGCCGACGAUCCAUAGCUGGUCUGAGAGGAUGAUCAGCCACACUGGGACUGAGACGCGGCCCAGACUCCUACGAAAGGCAGCAGGGGGGAAUAUUGCACAAUCGGCGAAAGCCUGAGCCAGCAAUGCCGCGUGAGUGAUGAAGGAACUAGGGUUGUAAAGCUCUUUUGCCCGGGAAGAUAAUGGCUGAACCGGGAGAAUAAGCCCCGGCUAACUCCGUG